GACGAACGCUGGCGGCGUGCCUAACACAUGCAAGUCGAGCGGGGACAGUACGACGGAUCGGAAGUUUUCGGAUGGACGUGAAGAUGUAUGUUCUAGCGGCGGACGGGUGAGUAACGCGUGAGCAACCUGUCCUUCACAGGGGGAUAACACAGCGAAAGUUGUACUAAUACCGCAUAAGACCACAUCGGGGCAUCCCGGAGGGGUCAAAGGAGCAAUCCGGUGAAGGGUGGGCUCGCGUCCGAUUAGAUAGUUGGUGGGGUAACGGCCUACCAAGUCGACGAUCGGUAGCCGACCUGAGAGGGUGAUCGGCCACAUUGGGACUGAGACACGGCCCAA
rnacentral:rRNA from 1 species